rnacentral:lncRNA from 1 species
GGCCGUAACUACCCUUGAGGCAAGUGAGGCAAUUGCCUCACUAAAAUUUCGACACUGAUUAAUUUUUUUUAUACAUAUAUAUAUAUAUAUAUAUAUAUAAAUAUAAUAGUCAUUUGUUGUUCUAUCUCAACCUUAAUUUCUAUAACUUGUCAUCAUUCCUUUUAAACUAUUCUUCCUGAAUAUAACUCAGCAUCUCAACGGGUGAUGUUUCUCGAUUAUCAUCAUGGAUCUUUAGUUAAAACAGGCUCUUGCAGAAAAAGGAAAGCGACACUGAAGGUAAAGAAGGAAUAAUUCUAGAAAUCUAUUUUUUUUAACAGAGUCUGAGUAUUGCA